rnacentral:rRNA from 1 species
CGAACGGGUGAGUAACACGUAGGAAACCUGCCCUCAGGAUUGGGAUACUCCCGAGAAAUCGGGCUCAAUACCGGAUAUGACCCCAGGGUGAAAUGCCCAGGGGUAAAAGUUGCGAGCAAUCGUAGCACCUGAGGAGGGGCCUGCGGCCUAUCAGCUUGUUGGUGAGGUAAUGGCUCACCAAGGCGAAGACGGGUAGCCGGACUGAGAGGUCGAUCGGCCACACUGGAACUGAGACACGGUCCAG